rnacentral:rRNA from 1 species
GACGAACGCUGGCGGCGUGCUUAACACAUGCAAGUCGAGCGGAAAGGCCCUUUCGGGGGUACUCGAGCGGCGAACGGGUGAGUAACACGUGAGUAACCUGCCCUGGACUUUGGGAUAACCCUCGGAAACGGGGGCUAAUACCGGAUACGACACUCUCCUGCAUGGGAUGGGUGUGGAAAGUUUUUCGGUCUGGGAUGGGCUCGCGGCCUAUCAGCUUGUUGGUGGGGUGAUGGCCUACCAAGGCGACGACGGGUGCCGGCCUGAGAGGGCGACCGGCCACACUGGGGACUGAGACACGGCCCAGACUCCUACGGGGAGGCAGC